GAGGAAGGCAGAAGGUUUGUCAGGUGACCCCCUCUAAUACCCAACGACGUCUGAAUUGGUUUCGUUAUUUUUUCUUUUAUGCACAGCAUUCCAGCAGUUAAUCAAGUUAGAACACAGUCAGCACAACUGAACACCACAGAUCAGCAGGUGUUUGCAAAGACUGCCAGGAUUGAGGUUUGGACUAUAACUCCCCCAGCACCCUGACAGGAUUGAAGUAUGGGCUUUGACUCCCUCAUCACCCUGACAGGACUGAGGUAUGGUCCAUGACUCCCCCAUCACCCUGACAGGAUUGAGGAAACCUCUUAUUAUCUCCCUUUCCUGUUGCUUGCCUCCCUGAUGGAAAAGGGAGAUUGAGAAAGAUAAAAAAAAAAAGGAAGGAAAAGAGAAAGAAAAUGUAUGUUUUUGUGACAUCUGAACAAAGCGCAAAAGAAAAGGGGACAAACAUAUGAAGGAAAAAACCUGGAACCAGCAAUUGUGAAAUGAAACCACCCUCCCAUCCUCCCUCUCCUCCCGCUUCUUUUUUCUCUGUUUCUUUGUCAAAAGGUGAAAGCCCAGCACACUGCACACCACCCCAAAACUAAUGACCAGAAUCACCAAUCCCAGCCCCAAGAGGUGAGAGGUCUGGCCCGUGAUCCGCUGCGAUUGGUCCCACAGUCCCAGGGCAACCACGCUCACGCCAAUCAGAGUGCCAAAUACACCGAAGGCCAGCAUGCAAGACCCACAGGAGAGUUCGGUGCCCCCAGUUACCACGGUGAUGCCUGCCAGCGAGACAACCCCUACAGGAAGCAUCACCGUUUCUGAUUUCGAGUCAUAGGUCACAGCAGAGUUCUCCACUGUGAGGGCAGAGGGAUCCAGGGUGUCCAUCUUUAUUGUCAUCUUUUGGGUUUUGCCUUUUGUCGGUUCAAGUAGUAGCUUUGUUCUCUCUGAUAUUCCCUUUGUGUGUUUGUUUUUUGCUUUUCCACUCUCUUGGUUAACUGUCGUGGGUCCAAUCCUGUGCCACAAAAUAGUCAGUUAAAGCAUCUAGGUGCGAGCAUCUCCCUCUGUAAUGUUUUAAAAAAAAUGAAUUCACUGUAAAAUUCAUGAUAUGGCCAUAAUGCAGUACAAUUACUUUUAUCUGUUACAACAACCAGUAACAAACAGAAUUUUGCAGUUUCUUCGGGAUAUAUUCAUAUACAUUUUCAACUAAUGUUUAAAGCAGGAAUUGCUAAUAGAGAAAUAAACAUGUGCAUUUGUGCUAUUUCUAUAAUUUAUUUCACUAUGAAUCACAAGUUCCCCCAGCACUCCCCAAUUCUGCUAAUCAGAAAACAGCCACAUUGGCCAGAGGGCAGAUGGUAGUGUUGUUUUUUUACUGCUUAAUUCAUCUAUAAAUCAGACUGGAAAUUCCUAAUCACUACUACAUGAGAAUGGCCCACAACUCAAGAAAAAAUAACAACUGUGUUUAAAGACAACAAACAUUACAUUUAAGAGAACAUAUAAAAUAAAUACUCACAUCAAAGGCUUCCAAUCAACAUAGGCCUCAACAGCACAUUGGAUAAUUAUUAAAUGUCGUCCUAUUUAAAUCCUUCAAAGUCUUGAAAGAGAAGUCUUAAUGUGUGAUUGUUCUUGUCAUCAGCAAAGGCCACAUCACGUUGACCUUCUCGGUAGCGAGUCUGUCAAGGAAUGUCAGUUGAGAAGUCUUGGCUUGUAACUUUUAUCAGUGGCGUCACAACCUGGGGCCUACGAAGAUGGCGACCGUUAUGAUCGUUAUCAUUUGUUUGUUUCUAUCGUUCAUUGUAUUCAGCAGAAGGGUCUCAUCUGUCAUUAAGCAUCAUUAGGACCCAUUAACUGGUAUUUAUCUAGGACCCCCUCCCUUCCUCCUUUCCCUCCCUCUUUCUCAGAAGGUCUGGGUUGGGUCCCAUAUAGGCAUUGUUUGUGCAGACCUAGAGUUGUUUUAGAGGUUUUUUUUUUUGUUGUUCUUAAAAUGUUUCCCUUUCCUUGUUUCCCAUAUCGCUUCCUCCAUUUCUCUUUCAAGACUUUACUGCAAAUAUUUGCAUUCAUAUUGAUGAAUUGUACUGAUCACAUUUAUAAAAACUUUUGAGAACCAUUUUCUCAAAACCUUUCUUGUCUUAAUGUUCAGGGUUGUAACAUUGUUUUACCCUCAGGUAAUCACUUUAUAAGUACAGUAUUGCUUUAAAAUAUGACAUUUACAAUUUGAGGUAGUUAGGAAAAAUAUAUAAACAGUCCUAAAAGCAAUCCUAAUGUGACCAUCCAUAAGGUAUUGGACUGUGCUGGAUAAGUAUUGGGGCGGCAGGGCAGCUUAGCGGUGUGAGCAUCAGAUCUGCAACCGAAGGUUUUCCAGAUUGAAUCCCAGAAGUGGCAAGUUAAAAUAUAUGUCCUUCUGUCCCUGAGCAAGGCAGUGAACUGUAAUUACUCCCAGGUUGUGGCUGAAAAGUAAAAUACAAUCUCAAUCAUAUGUAUCAGGUAAAACUACAAUAAAACACAGUGUCUGUUUGAAUGAUGAAAGUGUAAAAUGUGUUGGCCCAUGCUGAUUGGUGGAUGUCAGAUGCCAGUCAAGAUGGUCUUUCUGCCAGGUCACAGCCUGCCUAACACAGAUUGACCAAGUCAGACAUGAAAUAACAAAUCUUUCUUGCCGUGGUUUGUGCAAC